rnacentral:rRNA from 1 species
GCAAGUCGAACGGCAGCACGGGCUUCGGCCUGGUGGCGAGUGGCGGACGGGUGAGUAAAGCGUAGGAACCUAUCCUUUUGUGGGGGACAACCCAGGGAAACUUGGGCUAAUACCGCAUAAGUCCUGAGGGAGAAAGCGGGGGAUCUUCGGACCUCGUGCUGAAGGAGGGGCCUACGUCCGAUUAGCUAGUUGGUAGGGUAAAGGCCUACCAAGGCGACGAUCGGUAGCUGGUCUGAGAGGACGAUCAGCCACACUGGGACUGAGACACGGCCCAGACUCCUACGGGAGGCAGCAGUGGGGAAUUUUUCGCAAUGGGGGCAACCCUGACGAAGCAAUGCCGCGUGAAUGAAGAAGGCCUUCGGGUUGUAAAGUUCUUUCGUGGGAGACGAAAAGGCAAGCGCUAAUAUCGUUUGCUGUUGACGUGAACCCAAGAAGAAGCACCGGCUAACUCCGUGCCAGCAGCCGCGGUAAUACAGAGGUGGCAAGCGUUGUUCGGAGUUACUGGGCGUAAAGAGUCUGUAGGUGGUCUGUCAAGUCUUUGGUGAAAGGCCGUGGCUUAACCAUGGGAAUGCCAAAGAGACUGGCAGACUGGAGGCUGGGAGAGGGAAGCGGAAUUUCUGGUGUAGCGGUGAAAUGCGUA